rnacentral:lncRNA from 10 species
GAACAAAGGCCUGGAGACUGGAGCGAGCUGCGUUCUUGGGGGUGGGGGGUGGGGCGGCAGCUGGAGAGUGGGGGCUUCCCCAGCGGGAGAGGGAGGACGAUUCUGGAUGGCUUCCCUCCUUGUGGACAGAGUGAGUCUCUGCUAUGAGAAAGGUGUUCUACAUACGGCUCGGGAGCCAGCAAGUGCGUAUGAAGCCCCUUCACAUGGCUAGUGGCAUCCUAAGGACCCGGCGACAAUUAGUCAUGGCGUCAUCGAACACCAGGCUGGAGGAGGUCUUGGAUGCCACAGCUCCUUUUGAAUUUCAAAGACGUUCAAAUCCCCAUCUGGCUGUUACACUUUUAGGCUAUUGAGAGUGAAAACAAGCACUGACAUGAACACCCAACCAGCUGCCGGUGACAUCGUCCCCUUCUGAGAUCUGAGGACAUGGAUACCCAACCACCUGCCGGUGACAUCGUCUCCUUCUGAGAUCUGAGGACAUGAACACCCAACCACCUGCCGGUGAUAUCGUCCCCUUCUGAGAUCUGAGGACGUGGAUAUCCAACCACCUGCCGGUGACAUUGUCUCCUUCUGAGAUCUGAGGACAUGGACACCAAACCACCUGCCGGUGACAUUGUCUCCUUCUGAGAUCUGAGGACAUGAACACCAAACCACCUGCCAGUGACAUCGUCCCCUUCUGAGAUCUGAGGACAUGGAUACCCAACCACCUGCCGGUGACAUCGUCUCCUUCUGAGAUCUGAGGACAUGGACACCCAACCACCUGCCGGUGACAUCGUCUCCUUCUGAGAUCUGAGGACAUGAACACCCAACCACCUGCCGGUGAUAUCGUCCCCUUCUGAGAUCUGAGGACGUGGAUAUCCAACCACCUGCCGGUGACAUUGUCUCCUUCUGAGAUCUGAGGACAUGGACACCAAACCACCUGCCGGUGACAUUGUCUCCUUCUGAGAUCUGAGGACAUGAACACCAAACCACCUGCCAGUGACAUCGUCCCCUUCUGAGAUCUGAGGACAUGGAUACCCAACCACCUGCCGGUGACAUCAUCUUCUUCUGAGAUCUGAGGACAUGGACACCCAACCACCUGCCGGUGACAUCGUCUCCUUCUGAGAUCUGAGGACAUGGACACCAAACCACCUGCCGGUGACAUCGUCUCCUUCUGAGAUCUGAGGACAUGAACACCCAACCACCUGCCGGUGAUAUCGUCCCCUUCUGAGAUCUGAGGACGUGGAUAUCCAACCACCUGCCGGUGACAUUGUCUCCUUCUGAGAUCUGAGGACAUGGACACCAAACCACCUGCUGGUGACAUUGUCUCCUUCUGAGAUCUGAGGACAUGAACACCAAACCACCUGCCAGUGACAUCGUCCCCUUCUGAGAUCUGAGGACAUGGAUACCCAACCACCUGCCGGUGACAUCAUCUUCUUCUGAGAUCUGAGGACAUGGACACCCAACCACCUGCCGGUGACAUCGUCUCCUUCUGAGAUCUGAGGACAUGGACACCAAACCACCUGCCGGUGACAUCGUCUCCUUCUGAGAUCUGAGGACAUGAACACCCAACCACCUGCCGGUGACAUCGUCCCCUUCUGAGAUCUGAGGACAUUGAUACCCAGCCACCUGCCGGUGACAUCGUCUCCUUCUGAGAUCUGAGGAUAUGGACACCAAACCACCUGCCGGUGACAUCGUCUCCUUCUGAGAUCUGAGGACAUGAACACCCAACCACCUGCCGGUGACAUCGUCCCCUUCUGAGAUCUGAGGACAUGGAUACCCAACCACCUGCCGGUGACAUCGUCUCCUUCUGAGAUCUGAGGACAUGGACACCCAACCUGCUGCUGGUGACAUCGUUCCCUUCUGAGAUCUGAGGACAUGGACACCAAACCACCUGCCAGUGACAUCGUCUCCUUCUGAGAUCUGAGGACAUGGACACCAAACCUGCUGCCGGUGACAUCGUCCCCUUCUGAGAUCUGAGGACAUGGACACCCAACCACCUGCCGGUGACAUCGUCUCCUUCUGAGGUCUGAGGACAGACACUCACAUGGACACCUAAACACCUGCCGAUGAUAUUGUCUCCUUCUGAAAUCUGAGGACAUGGACACCCAACCAGCUGCUGGUGACAUCAUCUCCUUCUGAGAUCUGAGGACAGACACUCACAUAGACGCCCAAUCAGCUGCUGGUGACAUUGUCUCCUUCUGAAAUCUGAGGGUUGGAACACAUUGGCCUGGCUCAGUGUUUCUCCAUGUGGUUUUGAGACCACCUGAGUUGGAACCGAUAUGGGUUCCCAGCCUCACGCCUGGAGAGCUGGAUUUUGCGAGUGUGAGGUUAGGUCCAGCAUCUGCAUGUGUAACGAGCUCCCAGGUGUUUCGUAGAUGCAUUAGGGCUUGAGAAGCUCCUUUCUAGCACCAUCUUCCUUUUUGCGCAUGAGGGAGUUCAGGUCCAGAGAAAUAAAGCAGCAAGGUUAGUGGCACAGCUGGCGCCCCCUGCUUUCUAGGAAUUUAGAAUAUUAUUGAAGAGAGAGGUAUUAGAACCUGUGAAGUCAAUACAGAGACCUCCAGGCGAGUGGCAUCCUCACUGAAACCACUGACAAGUAUGCUGAAUAGAAAGUGUCAUUUCUCCUGGAAGACCCUCAGUGACCCAGCUGGAGGGUCUCUCCUACUCAUCAGCUGUCCCUCACUCUGCCAUUUCAGCAGCUCUGCUCACCCUGAGCAUGCAGAGAGAGCAGCUUUUAAAUGAGUUCUAAUCCAGACCAGCUUGGCUAGCAUUGUCUGUGUAGAGGUGUGCUAGUAAGUCUAACAACUGGCUCUCUGAGAGAGAGUAGCCCUACCUAACUGGUAGCAUUUGCCACUUCCCAUGGUGUAAAUACUCCCAGCAUGGCCAACUUCAAGCUUACUAAGAGGAUUUCGCUGAUCAUGGUUUUGGGGAGAGAUGUGCAGAUUGACUCCUGCCAGCUAGUAGGAGCCGGCUCCAGCACACCACGGCAUCUGUGUCCAGGAACCAGGCUGAGAUGUGGGAAGGCCAGAGAAGGAGGAGGCUGGCAGAUGCCUGAGGGCUGGGAAGGAUUGCAUCCAGGAGGACGGCCGUGGUGGGCAUCCCUGCAUUGGGGGGCAGCCGGGCCCAAGAUCCAGGGGGACAGAAAGCACAAAUGGUGCUGGGGUUCAGUGCCACACUCACCCUGGGGCAGAGGAGGGUGACACUGGCCCUGCCACCUGACCUCAGCCUCAGGGGCUCCAGAUCCUAGCCAGAGGCCUUGAGUGCUUCCUGCCACAAAGGCAGGGGGUGGCCUGGGAUUUCCUCUCUGAUCGGAGCUGAUGUUUCCCUCCAGGAAACCAUCCCUGCUCACCUUGCUAGGCCUGGGGCAAGUUGGAGUGAAGGGCAGGUCCCUCAGCCUUGCCUUUGAGACCUUACCUUCCACUUCAUUCCCGUCUGUGGCUCUCAUUCCUUCCCCACCCCUGCCCUAUGCUCUGGUGAGAAGGUGCAACCCUGUGAGCCCCCAUAGCAAGGUUCACUCCAGCCGUGCUUUCUGCUUGCUUUUGGUUUGUGAAAACCCUCCACUUUCUUAGAGGCCUUCUGCAAAUGUCAUUUCUUCAUAAGGAUCUUCCUACCCCGCCCGAGCCAGGGAGAUCCCUCCCUUCUCUGAGCCUAGAGCACCAUGUCCCUUCCCUGUAGCCCUGGUGACGUGCACCCUGGAUGGUGGCCCUUCCAGUGACAUGGAGGAUGUUUUCCCUCUACAGACACUGUCUGGUUUUAGGAUCCCGGAGCCAGGCAUCUCGCUCACCCCUGUAGCCACCACAGCAUUCAGCCCUGCAGCCUGGGACCUUGCUAAGGUCUUGCUUUACCCCUAAAAACCAAAAAUAGUGUGUCACCUUUAGCAGUGAUUGCCAACGCCUCUGGAGUGCUGGCUGGGACAGGCAUCUCUAUUUUCAUCCUCACCAAUCCUGCCAGGGAGCUACUCUGGGGAGCCCCAUCCUGCUGAUGAAUGACCGAGUCUCGCAGCGAUGACGGAACCUGCAGGUCCCAGGCUUGGGCCCAGGUCUGUCUUUCUCCAGGGGCCUCACAUCCAUCUCCUUCCCAGCUCUCCUUUUCUGUAAGACUUCACAGAACAGGUUCAAAAUCCAUUUGCUGGCCGAGCACAGUGGUUCACGCCUGUAAUCCAGCACUGUGGGAGGCCUCGAGGCAGGUGGAUCACCUGAGGUCAGGAGUUCGAGACCAGCCUGGCCAACAUGGCGAAACCCCAUCUCUACUAA